rnacentral:rRNA from 1 species
GAGUUUGAUCAUGGCUCAGAGCGAACGCUGGCGGCAGGCCUAACACAUGCAAGUCGAACGAACUCUUCGGAGUUAGUGGCGGACGGGUGAGUAACACGUGGGAACGUGCCUUUUGGUUCGGAAUAACUCAGGGAAACUUGUGCUAAUACCGAAUGUGCCCUUCGGGGAAAGAUUUAUCGCCAUUAGAGCGGCCCGCGUCUGAUUAGCUAGUUGGUGAGGUAAAGGCUCACCAAGGCGACGAUCAGUAGCUGGUCUGAGAGGA